UGGUGCGACUUGUCCCAAAACCGGGAACCUAA
rnacentral:piRNA from 1 species